GACAGCAAACCCACAGUCUCUGUACAAAAACACAAGCUGACACACUGACGAGCUGCUGGAAGCCUUUUUUCCACACUGUUCCACUCAACUUUUUACCUCCACUAGAGGGCCACAUUAUCAAGCAGGCGCUGCACUACUUCUGCACUGUGUUCAACCAUCUGUCAAUAAUAACUGCUGCUGUGAAGAGAACCAUUCUCACUCUGAAUGCUGAACAUCAGCUACUUUCUCCUCUUCAUUUCAGCCUCGUUGUACACAUGGAACAUUGGCUGUGGAUUAUUCUUGCUGCUCUUUGCUUUGAGUGUAAAGGAGAAGACAGAGUGAUCCAGCCAACAGCAGAUGUCAUUGCUACUGAAGGAGGCACAGUUACACUGGACUGUACAUUUGAGACCAGUUCCAACACUCCAACUUUGUUCUGGUACAAACAAGAAGAAAAUGGUUUCCCAAAGUUCAUGUUGAAACGUUUCUCAACAACAGCAGAAAAUGCUGCAGAGUUCCAGAAAGACAGAUUUGAUGCUGCAAUCAAGAAUAAGUCAGUUCCUCUGAAGAUCCAGAAGCUUCAGCUGUCUGACUCUGCUGUGUACUACUGUGCUCUGCAGCCCACAGUGACAGGAAACAGCAAAACUCUGCACAAAAACCUCUGCAGCAAACACAACACAAUACUCCACAACGUCCACUAGAGGGAGUCACACACUGCUCAACUUCAAUGGGAUGUGAUGAUCCAGUGUUGAAUCUUUUCACUCAUGAGACACAGCUGUGAUGAUGAGCUUCACAAAUGAAGACCAGUCUCCUCCUACUGACUGCAGAAGUGUUUCAUGAGAACUGUUUGUUUCCAGCUGUGAACAUCAGACCAACAACUCACAAAACUCAUUCAUACUGAACGUUCACUGACA